rnacentral:rRNA from 1 species
AUACGGAGGACGCGAGCGUUAUCCGGAUUCAUUGGGUUUAAAGGGUGCGCAGGCGGCCGUGCAAGUCAGCGGUGAAAGCCCGGGGCUCAACCCCGGAAGUGCCGUUGAUACUGCAUGGCUGGAAUGCGGUCGAGGCGGGCGGAAAGGGGCGGGGAGGGGGGAAAUGCGUAGAUAUGCCACAGAACGCCGAUAGCGGAGGCAGCUCGCCAGGCCUGCAUUGACGCUCGGGCACGAAAGCGUGGGGAUCGAACAGGAUUAGAUACCCUGGUAGUCCACGCCGUAAACGAUGGGCGCUCGUCGUCGGCGGCAGACAGUCGGCGGCCAAGCGAAAGCGAUAAGCGCCCCACCUGGGGAGUACGGUCGCAAGGCUGAAACUCAAAUGAAUUGGCGGGG